CCCCUGUCGGAUAGGAAAUCCCAAGUAAGGUACCUGCCAUCGGCAGAUUUGAGCUUUCUUCUUGGACACCUGAUACCCACAGUCCUCCAGGCUCCGGUAGAUUGCAAAUAACCUGCUUUCUUUCUGUUCCCGGGCUGCCUUCGGAACCCUGUGGGAGAGUAAAUCCCUAGUAAGGUACCUGCCGUUGACAGAUUUGAGCUUUCUUCUUGGACACCUAAUACCCACAGUCCUCCAGGAAUGCAGCUCCUCACCAUCAACGGAACAAAGCUGGACGG
rnacentral:lncRNA from 1 species